GCAGCAGGCAGGCUGGCGAGAGGGCUGCGCUCAGCAAGCGGCGCCUGGAGACUUGGGCAUGUGAUCAAAAAGCAAGGGGGGAGGAAGAGGAGGAGGAGGAGGAGGGAGGGAGGGAGCCGGCUAUAGAUGAGCCAGGAGUUUGCUAGCUCUUCGGCGCUGGCGAGGGGAGCCGGCGGGAGGAAUGCGUCCCACAAAGGACGCGCGCGCGCGUUUGGCGGCCCGCCUGGGGCGGGAAUCGCGGCGUGUGCAGGGGCAGGAGAGGAGUUGCUCGUUUUCCCUCCCUCCUUAGGAAUCCCAAGCGGCGAAGGAGCGGCACCCGCAGUGUGAGGCUCCCCCUGGCUGUUUGGAGCGGGCUGCGCGAGAGGGGUGGGGGGAGCCCAGAGAGCUGCAAAGAGCAGCAGACACUUCAUCCUGCGGCACCAGCAGGAAGAGCGUCUGUGCGCGCGAGGGAGAGCUGAAGCCCAUGUGCGCAGAUGGCAGUGUGAAAACCAAAUACAAACAUUGGUAGAAGUUAUUUUUUGCUCUCUAUAAGAAAAUGAAGACAGUGUACACAUGACUAGGCUCGGGAACUUGAGAAACCACAGCCAUCUCAGCAGCUUGCAUUCCUGCUAUUUGAGUACUACACAACAUGGAUCCCUACAUUCUUUUUUGUGUGAGUCAAACCACACAGAUAAUGAUCAGAUACUGGAUUCCAGCCAAAAGGCAGAUGCUGAUGGUUUUUCCUGCAGACAAACUUCAAGGAUGGAGAGACAAUGAGCACAGAUGGCAUCCUGUAAUUCAUACCUGAGUUGGAAAAAAUCAUUGUAAUAGUAAUACAUUUAAGUUUAUCUGGCCUCUGGAUGAAAGUCAACAGCCUUAAUCUCUGGGAUGUAUAAAGCAGAAAAUAUGAUCUUAGUAAUAGACCAUGGGCUUUGUAUGCAAAGCAUCCCAAAUUCAAUCCCUGGUAUCUCCAGGUAAGAAUUGAAGAGGCUGUUUGAAAAACAAAGAGUUGUGGCCAGUAAGUACAGACCUUAUUGAACUAUAUUUCCUAUUUCCA